rnacentral:rRNA from 1 species
CCCGCUGAACUUAAGCAUAUCAAUAAGCGGAGGAAAAGAAACCAACAGGGAUUGCCUUAGUAACGGCGAGUGAAGCGGCAAAAGCUCAAAUUUGAAAUCGGCCCCCAGGUCGAGUUGUAAUUUGUAGAUUGUAUCUUGAGAGCGGAUUAAAGUCUGUUGGAACACAGCGCCUUAGAGGGUGACAGCCCCGUAAAAUCUAUUCUCAUUGUAAGAUACUUUCGAAGAGUCGAGUUGUUUGGGAAUGCAGCUCUAAGUGGGAGGUAAAUUCCUUCUAAAGCUAAAUAUUGACGAGAGACCGAUAGCGAACAAGUACUGUG